rnacentral:snoRNA from 1 species
UCACUGUGAUGAUUGAUUUUCCAACCAUUCGCAGUUUCCACCAGAAAGGUUUUCUUUAAUGUUGGCUAAACCUUCCUUGGAUGUCUGAGUGA